UGGGGAAUAUUGGACAAUGGGCGAAAGCCUGAUCCAGCCAUGCCGCGUGUGUGAAGAAGGUCUUCGGAUUGUAAAGCACUUUAAGUUGGGAGGAAGGGCAGUUACCUAAUACGUAUCUGUUUUGACGUUACCGACAGAAUAAGCACCGGCUAACUCUGUGCCAGCAGCCGCGGUAAUACAGAGGGUGCAAGCGUUAAUCGGAAUUACUGGGCGUAAAGCGCGCGUAGGUGGUUUGUUAAGUUGGAUGUGAAAUCCCCGGGCUCAACCUGGGAACUGCAUUCAAAACUGACUGACUAGAGUAUGGUAGAGGGUGGUGGAAUUUCCUGUGUAGCGGUGAAAUGCGUAGAUAUAGGAAGGAACACCAGUGGCGAAGGCGACCACCUGGACUAAUACUGACACUGAGGUGCGAAAGCGUGGGGAGCAAACAGGAUUAGAUACCCGAGUAGUCCCUGAGCGGGCUGGCAAGGCGCAU
rnacentral:rRNA from 1 species